CUAAUGGGUUGGGAAUUUGUCAGAAACUACAGUGUGUGUGGCCAGAGAGGAGCAGCUGGGAAGUGUGGGGGGUCUCUCAAAGCCAAGCUGUGUGUAACCCACCAGCUGAGCUGGCCAGCACGAUCGCGGUGGCAGACGCCCACACAGAGGCUGCGUGUCAAAAGGCUGACCAACCUCACCACUCAACUCAGCGGCUGGUGCUGAGGCUGCACCAGGCCCCGUCUAUGUCAUGCUGGGGGGCCCAGCUCGGAGAUUCACAGAUGCUGAGGAAGAUUUCCACUGACUGAGCCACGUCCCAGCUGCUAAGGUCCGAAAACCAAUGACUGUCAAUUGCCUUCCAACCCCCACCCCCACCCCUGACAGUGACAGGGCCUGGCUUAUGGCGGAUGUGACAUGCCCCAGCAAAGAGAAAGCCCAUCAGACUCAGAGGCAAGAGGCUGAGCGAGAACCUGUCCUGUGAUCACUGAGAGUGGCAGCCGGCCUGGAAAUAGCACAGAAGAAGAGGAGCGGCAAGGAAGAACUGCCCCAGUGGCUCUGUGGCAUUUAAGGCGAGGCCAGGGCGAGAACCUCCAAGUCAGGUGAGGUACAGGUGAGACUUGGUCAGCAAGGCAGCCAAGGCCAUUAGAGAAACAAAAAAAGGCAGGGAAUCCACGUGAAAGGAUAAAAGCCUGGGAGCCUGGGUGUGGCUGGGAGGGGCUCUGGGCCUCCUGCUAGCAAUUUUUAGGACUUCUUUCCCAAGCACCUGUACACGGUAUGAAUUUUGAGGCCUUGGGCUGUCUCCUCAGUGCUCCUGCGUUUCUAAGCUGGAACCAGUCCCUCCCCAGCACCACGUGACCUUCCUCCACCCAGUGUGUCCAGCAGCUUCUGGACACACAGGCAGGGUGCCGAGUGGUCUUCAUCAUGGCAAUGGAAAGCAAACAGGACAGCAAGGAAGACAGAAAAGGGCAAUACGGCUGGGACAGCGAAACCAUGAGGCUGCAGGGACCAGGUCGGAAGUUCAGGCAGAGAAACCCGUAGGACAUGGAGAAGUUAGGGGUGAGGACUUCAUUCAGACAAGGCUGUGACAGGACUUGGAGGCUCUGUUGUCAGGGGCCAGAUGGUGUUAACAGCGAGAUAAUAUCUGCCCCUCUGCUUUUACCCUGUGUCAGCUUCCUUGGUCCUAAAACUGUGGGUCAGACCCCUGCUCAUCUCCGUCAGCAUGUUAUUCACUCGGAGUGUCCGUCUAAACACUAGUGACACAAGGAUGAGUCGCCCCGUAGUUACCUAGAUAAGAAUAACAGGAGGUUUUGCUAUCCCGGCAUCCUCCUCCAGACCCCCGAAGUAGCGCCUAGGAGUCUCCAGUCACUGCCCUAAAUCUGGAUUCCAGAAAAUCCCAGCAGACUGAUCAUCCACGAUGAGACUGGCCUACCCUCCAAGCAGCAGCACUAUCCCCCGGCAGGAACAGAAGCAGCUCUACCCUGCUAAGCAGAGCAGCCAUCUCCUGGGAGCCCAGCUGAUCCUUGGAGCAACCACCAGGGUGAUCUCUGAAGCCCCUCUCAGAGCAAGAGCUGGGAGGGUGAUCAGCGGGGCCUGUCUGCCCAGGAGUAUCACACCUCUUCCUCUGGCCCACUUCUUCCUCUAUGUAAGCCUGCAUCUCAGGGCGGCAUCCUGCAGGGGGGCUGAGAUGCUUGCUCUGCUGUGUCCUGUACGGCUGCAUUCAGCGUGUCCAGCGUGACUUUCCCAUUUGCUUUCCCAGGCAGGUGGAAGGGUCCUUGUUUGUGGGGAGUCUGGCCUAGGACUCUGGUAAGAAGACUUAGCACGGGAGGUCUCAAACAAGAGAGUUCUGAAGCACGAUGGAAAGACAAGGAAAAUUCUGGGGACAUGGCAAAGGGAAGGAGGAGCCCCUUGCUCUGGAGACUGGCUAGGGCCUCUCCAUCCUAGAGGCAAGAAUUCCAACCCAAUUAGCUUGCUGCAGAGUUUCUGGCAGCGUCACUCCCCCUUUCACACGUGGACCUUUGAUGUUAACAGCGAUGACUCGGCCUAAGGCCUUGAUGCGUAUAAUCCCGGGCAGGGCCUCUCUCAAGGCUGUUGGCCCUGCUUACAGAGAAGACACCUUCUUAUCGACCACAAUCCCACCAGGCUCCCCUCAGGGGCCAUACAAUGAUCUCAUCCGGGUUUCUAAGCAACCGUUUGAACAUAAUAGUCUCAAGUCUCACAAAGUCCUACCUGUGACUAUAUAAAGGCUGCGAAGGAAGAGUCUCGCUCAGAGAACCCCACAGCUGUGCUCUACGGUGUCUGUCUUUAUUUCUAAGCAUCCCCCCCCCCCAACCAUCACGGUUACAAUCUAUAUUUAAAACGCGUUACAAUAAAAAAGAUCAACUCGGCUUCAUCCGGCUUACCCUGAAACUCGUUUCUAUGUCAAACCCGCAAAUUCCAGUUUGGCCCAAGCAGAGGCCCUUAAAAGAUUAGGGGAGCUCCUGGGGCUGCUGCGGGCACAGAGGAGCUGAGCCACCUGCUUCUGUGCCCUUGACAAGUUACAGCUCCUGACUUAAGGGCCUAGAAGAAAAUUCUGUCCGUUGUAUAGAAUGUUUGUGGGAAGGUGGCUUCAGUGGGGAAAAGCGCACAGAUGGCUUAAGACACGUUCAAGAAGAAAUCCACAGGCCUUUGCAGCUGCAGCGCUCCAGAUGAGGAGCGGGGAAAGGGGGGAUGGAGGAGGCCAGGAUGGAUUGAUUGAUGACCACUGGCCUUCUAGCUAUCCGAACGGAUGCCGAAGGGGUACAUUCCUGAGGUGGAGGGGUGGAGCAGACAGAAGAGUAUACAGGCUGGGACCUCUCUCAGGUACAAGUCUGCAAACACACCACCCACCAUGUCCUGGGCACUUGCAUCUUGCCCCAUGGUACCUCAGCUAAGCCGCCAGACACUAAGCCCUGUCUUAAGUUUUCUAUCUGCCACUCCGAUGUUCUCAGCUCAGCUCAGAGAAGACCCGGCCUUGCUACGACAUAAUUCAGAACA